rnacentral:snRNA from 1 species
ACACUCUUGUUUCUCUUCAGACUGUACAAAUCUUUUGCUUUUUACUAAAGAUUUCCGUGGAGAGGAACUAUAACAGUUUUACCCAAUUUUUUGAUGCCUUGCGAAAAAA